UUUUUCAGUCCAGUUUUUGUCAUAAAGUCUUUUGUACAUUUAAAAAGUCAGGAACUUUUCUCUUUUUUUCUUUUCUUUUCUUUCUUUCUUUUUUUUUUUUUUUUUUUUUUUUUUUUUGUCUUUUUAGGGCCACACCAGAGGCAUAUGGAGUUUCCCAGGCUAGAGGUUCAGUUUGAGCCGGAGCUGCUGACCUACACCAUAGCAACGCCAGAUCCGAGCUGCAUCUAUGACCUACACCACAGCUCACGGCAACGGUGAUUCUUAACUCACUGACUGAGGCCAGGAAUUGAACCUUUGUCCUCAUGGAUACUAGUCAGAUUCGUUCCUGCUGAGCCAUGACGGGAACUCCAGGAACUUUUCUUUAAAUCCAAAACUUCAGAUUGAAUUUAUUGUCAGUAUUACAGCUGCUCUGAUGAGCAUUCACACUUUGUAAAUGAUGAAACUGGAAUGGGAGUGUAAUUGGGUAAUGUGCAUUCGAUCCCAACUGAAGAUGCCUCUGCUGAACCGCAGACAAGACCACACGUAUUUGCAGAAGACGUCACGCCACGUGGCCAAGGCGCUGUGGGAACAACUCUCUAUUAUAAAGUUGUAGGAGAAUAACUGUGAACUUCUCUUCUAACCAAUAAAAUUCAGAAGUGGCACAUUGUAACUCGGUUUGCAAUAUUUUCCCCAAUAUUUUCUUAAAGCUUCAUGUAUGGAAAGUGUCUUUGUUUUCACUCCAUUUCGCAUUUUGCCAAGAAAAAGUGACAAAACAGUACUUAUCAUCUUCCUUCAAAACAUAUGGCAUGUGCCCACGGAAUAUUAAAUGAUCUUUUACAAUGACAACAAAUGUUGUGAUAUUUCAUCUGAAACUCCCAGAAUGUAAGGUUUCUUGAAGCAGGCAGGAAAAGCAAAAAGAUGGUUCAGGGGGAUUGGUUUGCUGGUAGAGAUGGUGAGGAAAACAUAUGCUACUCUGAGUCUGAAGGAGUGCUGUGUAUAUAUGCAUGUACAAGCGAGGGCGGGAGCAAACACUACUUGGAAUUGCAGAUCUUAAGUAAGAAUCUGUAGCCAGUCCAGUGUCCUCUGCUUUAAAAGAGAUAAGAAAUUCGAAUAUACAUAAUAAGGUUGUCUUUUUUUUUUUUUUUGUAUUACAUCUCACUGUAGGCACAAUUUUCUAACAAUCCCAGGUUACUGAGAAGAGGGGUUCCCACUUUUUCUUUUUCUCUCAUAAGCUUCUAUGCAGCACUGGAGGAGUCUUUUGUUUGACCCAUGAGGUUGGGAGAAGGAUGUGGAUGUGUAUGAUUUGGCCUUUCCUUUCUGUUUCCUUUGAAUCCACCUGCUCCCUGCCCCCCAUGACUGACUCUGCUCGGCUCCUGUCCCCUAGGUGAGAAGCGCACCUCAUCCUGGUCCAGACUUGCCUUCUAGAGGCAGCCCUGCUGCUCCUGGCAUCUCAUUCCCUGCUCCUUGGGCCAGGCUCAGCAGCAUUUUUCAUCUUAGUUGGUGUGGUAAACACACAAUCUACUCUGCAGACUAAGCUCUUUCUUCAGUGGAUGGUCCCAAAAUCUAGACUGUGAGGGUGGGGUAAUGCCAGUGGAAGGACAGCUGAUUUUAGCCACAGGUUAAGCCGUAGCCUCCUCCCUACUUUACCAAAAAUAAAACUGCACUGUUGAUCCCUGUCUAUCCAUAUUCAGGGUCCAUCUUUCAGGUGGCUUAGAACUCUGAGGGAAAUGCACAUUCCUAUUUACUACUCCCUGAUAGCCCAACAUUCACCAUUAAGAUGAAAUGUUAUUUGGUAUUUAUAUUCAUACUGAGCUCCUCAAGAAUAGCUGCUAUUAAUAACAGAUCCCUGAGAACAAGUUUUUUUUUUCCAAACAUAACACUUCUUCCAUAUUAAUACUUAUUUAAAUACUAAAGAAAGGCCAAAUAACAUUUUAUAUCUUUGAAACUUCUAGUUUUAAGAAUAUUUUAAAAUCGUAAUCUUAAUCAGCUAACUCUCAC
rnacentral:lncRNA from 9 species